rnacentral:rRNA from 1 species
UACGGAGGGUGCAAGCGUUGUUCGGAUUCAUUGGGCGUAAAGGGUGCGUAGGCGGCGCGGUAAGUCGGGUGUGAAAUCUUGGAGCUUAACUCCGAAACUGCAUUCGAUACUGCCGUGCUUGAGGACUGGAGAGGAGACUGGAAUUUACGGUGUAGCGGUGAAAUGCGUAGAUAUCGUAAGGAAGACCAGUGGCGAAGGCGGGUCUCUGGACAGUUCCUGACGCUGAGGCACGAAGGCCAGGGGAGCAAACGGG